CAACUACUCCCUCCGUCCCAAAUUUCUUAUCUUAGAUUUUUCUAGAUACGGAUGUAUCUAAUACUAAAAUGUGACUUGAUACAUCUGUAUCUAGACAAAUCUAAGACAAGAAUUUUGGGACAGAGGGAGUACUUU
rnacentral:pre_miRNA from 1 species